rnacentral:snoRNA from 1 species
GGCCCGUGACAUUAUUUGUUACAAUUUGUCGCCUUUGGAAUUGUUGCACGAGUUCGCGGGCCCAGAAAGAUAAUUCCGGUUAAUCAUAGGCUAAAUCCCGGUAAUCAAUACCUUAGUCUAUUUCAUGCCCGGCAAACAUAU